rnacentral:lncRNA from 1 species
UGGAGGGAGGCACUGCCCUCUCUUGUUCUCAUCCUCUUUUUUUAAUUAUUUAGAUUAAAAUAAUAUUUGUAAAAAAAUUGAAAAAGAAAAAUAAGAUCACUCUUGUUUUUCUCUCAUUUCUCAUUUUCCCUCAAAUUCAUUCCUUUUCUUCCAUAGAGAAAAUAGAUCAAUUAUCAACACAACAACUAAUCAAUAUCCAUUGAAGGUUCAAUAGGAAAGCAAUGAAAAAUGAAAAAAAAGUUACUGAACCAAAAAGUGGCGGUGGAAGCAAAAGGGACCGGCUCCGGUCGGUUGUGAUGUGCUAGGGCGACUUUCCAGUUGCGGCUCCGGUGAUUCCGAUGGAUCCACGACGACUUUUAUUCCUUUAUUUUUUAUUUUUUGUUGUAUUCAUGAUUUGUUGCUUUGAUUGUUUUUUGUGGUUUAACGUGAUGUUGGAGUUUGAUGAUGAAGAUUGUUGUUGAAUUUGAGUGGAUGAAGAGGAUUUGGUUGUGAAGAUUGAAGGAGAGUUAUUAUGGUUGAAAGGUUGAUGGAAGAUGAUGAAUAUAUGAGGUGGUGAAGAGUAGAUUUCGUGUGAGGGAGAGGAAAGUCUCUUUUAUUUUUUAUUUUUUUCUCUUUUUUCUUUUCUAAAAGAAUGUGAGUGGGAGAGACUUAAUUUGGAAUUUUGUAGCUUUUGUUUGUUUGUAUUGUAUAAUUGGACUUCUAUUUAUACUAAUUUUUAGUUUAACAUAAAAGGAAAAAGUGAUAGUGAUAAAUUAUGACAAAUUAAAAAUAAGCAUUUUAAAUUACGAUCAAUUAAAAAUAAAUAUGACACAUUGCAAUGCUUUGAACAAGCAU